AAAUGGCCGCAGUAUUUUGACUGUGCAAAGGUAGCAUAAUCAUUAGUUUUUUAAUUGAAAGCUAGAAUGAAUGAUUGGACGAGAUGAAGACUGUCUUUUUAUAAAAAUUAGAAAUUAAUUUUUGAGUUAAAAAGCUUAAAUAUAAAUAAAAGACGAGAAGACCCUAUAGAUUUUAAUUUAAUAAAUAUAUAAAAUAUGAUGAUAAAUUGAUUUAAUAUAUAAAUUUAAAUUUUAUUGGGGUAAUAAAAAGAUUAGUUAAAUUCUUUUGUAUUUUUAUAUAAAUUAAUAGAUUUUUGAUCCAUAAUAGUGAUUAUAAGAUUAAAUUACCUUAGGGAUAACAGCGUAAUUUUAUUAGAGAGUUCUUAUUGAUAAUAAAGUUUGCGACCUCGAUGUUGGAUUAAAAUUAAUUUUAGAUGCAGAAGUUUAAAAUUUUAGUCUGUUCGACUAUUAAAUUUUU
rnacentral:rRNA from 1 species